AGUGAACGCCGGCGGUAGGCCUAACACAUGCAAGUCGAACGGCAGCACAGGAGAGCUUGCUCUCUGGGUGGCGAGUGGCGGACGGGUGAGGAAUACAUCGGAAUCUACUCUGUCGUGGGGGAUAACGUAGGGAAACUUACGCUAAUACCGCAUACGACCUCGGGUGAAAGCAGGGGACCUUCGGGCCUUGCGCGAUUGAAUGAGCCGAUGUCGGAUUAGCUAGUUGGCGGGGUAAAGGCCCACCAAGGCGACGAUCCGUAGCUGGUCUGAGAGGAUGAUCAGCCACACUGGAACUGAGACACGGUCCAGACUCCUACGGGAGGCAGCAGUGGGGAAUAUUGGACAAUGGGCGCAAGCCUGAUCCAGCCAUACCGCGUGGGUGAAGAAGGCCUUCGGGUUGUAAAGCCCUUUUGUUGGGAAAGAAAUCCAGCUGGCUAAUACCCGGUUGGGAUGACGGUACCCAAAGAAUAAGCACCGGCUAACUUCGUGCCAGCAGCCGCAGUAA
rnacentral:rRNA from 1 species